UACGUAGGGACCGAGCGUUGUCCGGAUUCAUUGGGCGUAAAGAGCUCGUAGGCGGCCACUCAAGUCGAAUGUGAAACCUCGAGGCUUAACCUCGAGCCUGCAUUCGAUACUGGGUGGCUAGAGUCUGGUAGGGGGAUCUGGAAUUCCUGGUGUAGCGGUGGAAUGCGCAGAUAUCAGGAGGAACACCGGUGGCGAAGGCGGCUCGCUGGGCCGUUCCUGACGCUGAGACGCGAAAGCUAGGGGAGCGAACAGG
rnacentral:rRNA from 1 species